CGUGUAGGCGGCCGAUCAAGUCGGAUGUGAAGUCCCUCGGCUCAACCGAGGAACUGCACUCGAUACUGGUCAGCUAGAGUGCGGGAGGGGUGAGUGGAACUCCAGGUGUAGCGGUGAAAUGCGUAGAUAUCUGGAGGAACGCCGGUGGCGAAAGCGACUCACUGGCCCGCAACUGACGCUGAGGCGCGAAAGCUAGGGGAGCGAACG
rnacentral:rRNA from 1 species